UACAGAGGGUGCGAGCGUUGUCCGGAAUCACUGGGCGUAAAGAGCGCGUAGGCGGCCCGACAAGUCCGCUGUGAAAGUCAGGGGCUCAACCCUUGGAUGCCGGUGGAUACUGUCGGGCUAGAGUCCGGAAGAGGCGAGUGGAAUUCCUGGUGUAGCGGUGAAAUGCGCAGAUAUCAGGAGGAACACCGAUGGCGAAGGCAGCUCGCUGGGACGGUACUGACGCUGAGGCGCGAAAGCGUGGGGAGCAAACAGG
rnacentral:rRNA from 1 species